rnacentral:rRNA from 1 species
AACAAGGUUUCCGUAGGUGAACCUGCGGAAGGAUCAUUCU